CCCUUAGAUGUCCUGGGCUGCACGCGCGCUACACUGAUGUGUCCAGUAAGCACCUAACCUCUUCCGAAAGGAACGGGUAACCUUUGCAAAGCACAUCGUGAUGGGGUUAGAUUAUUGCAAUUAUUAGUCUUGAACGAGGAAUUCCUAGUAAGCACAAGUCAUCAGCUUGUGUUGAUUACGUCCCUGCCCUUUGUACACACCGCCCGUCGCUCCUACCGAUUGAAUGUUCCGGUGAGCUCUUCGGACUGCGCGGUCUGCAGUUUCUGCGUUCCGUGCGGAAAGUUGCGCAAACCUUAACAUUUAGAGGAAGGAGAAGUCGUAACA
rnacentral:rRNA from 1 species